rnacentral:rRNA from 1 species
GAUGAACGCUGGCGGCGUGCCUAAUACAUGCAAGUCGAGCGAACAGAUAAGGAGCUUGCUCCUUUGACGUUAGCGGCGGACGGGUGAGUAACACGUGGGUAACCUACCUAUAAGACUGGGAUAACUUCGGGAAACCGGAGCUAAUACCGGAUAACAUUUGGAACCGCAUGGUUCUAAAGUGAAAGAUGGUUUUGCUAUCACUUAUAGAUGGACCCGCGCCGUAUUAGCUAGUUGGUAAGGUAACGGCUUACCAAGGCGACGAUACGUAGCCGACCUGAGAGGGUGAUCGGCCACACUGGAACUGAGACACGGUCCAGACUCCUACGGGAGGCAGCAGUAGGGAAUCUUCCGCAAUGGGCGAAAGCCUGACGGAGCAACGCCGCGUGAGUGAUGAAGGGUUUCGGCUCGUAAAACUCUGAUAUUAGGGAAGAACAAAUGUGUAAGUAACUGUGCACGUCUUGACGGUACCUAAUCAGAAAGCCACGGCUAACUACGUG